rnacentral:lncRNA from 10 species
CUGUGAUCCUACACGUCCCUCUAAAACAUCUGCUGUGUGCCCAGGGCUACACUAGGUGCUGGAUACCAUAAUGAAACCCAAAACACAGCCCCUGCAUCCCAGGCAGAUGGAGAAGAAUGGCAGCGCGGUUAACGGGAGGGGCGUGUUCACAGCCCCGGAAAUACUGCAAAUACUGCAGCUACUUCCAUCGCAGAACCGUGAGCUUGUUGCCCACUGACAGAGGGGGCUUGAAAGAUGGCAUAAGGAAGAGGAGCAGAAUGGCGCACAUACGUCAUGAGCAGUUGGUUGAAUCAGUUUCUUGCCUGGGCUACACUGGUCUUUCCUCGACGCAAACAAAUGCCAUUUCCUCAGGAGCCAAGAAUGAGGUGCUCUUUUCAAAUUUUCUGUGCUCCACAGAGCUGUGCUUAGAUGCUUCAUGCUGCUUCGAAGUUCUGAGGCAAGAUCCUAAGAUCCUGCAACCUCACAAGCUCACUUACAAAGCAUUACUGUAAUGCAUCCCAGCAAGAAGCUCUGUUUCACUGUAGCUUGGAGCACAAGAUUGCCUUGUAAAUAGGAAACGAUGAUGGAUGGAAGACAGCAGAGGCUUGUGGAAUUUUAACCCUGAUGGUAAGGCUGCCGCUAAGAAUAACCCUGCUGUGCUUCAGGCCAGGGAGGCUGAGCAGAAAACCCUCUUUUCUCAUUGCCCCACCUGCCUCUUCUGGACGCAAUCAGCCAAGGAGUGAACAGUCUUGUGGAUCCCUUGUCUGCAUAGCCUCAGAGCACUCUUGAGCCUGCGUUUUCAUCAUUCCCAGGCCUCCUGGAUGAAACUGAGCAGCCCUUGAUGCCUGCAGACAGUCUCCACUGAGCUUUCCUAGUUUAUCUUUAAGUCCUGUCCCAAGAGGUUUGUCAGUCUCUGUCAAAUAAGACAUGUUGCUCACACUGAGACCUUGUUCUUAUCCAGGCACAAAUAAACUGCUAUUUUCCAUGAUGCUUGGACUUCACUCUUGUUAACUUAUUAAGGCCCUAAGGGCCCAGAGGGACAAGUUCUAUUGUCAUCUGCAUUUAGUGAACGGAGUGUGUGGAUGUCACACGGCAGAGCCAAGACCCAUCACAUCUUCAGGCUACAUCACCCUGCUCACCGCAUGGCUCAUGGCAGGUGGCAGGUGAGGGUGACAGUGGAGGCACACUUUCCCUAGGAUGCUGUUACAGAGCUCAGGGGAUGUGGAAAGGCAUCACUUUGGAAGUGUUCCCCACACAUUAAAGUUACCUAUUCCUGAAGAUCCUUACAAAUGUUCAACCACUUUGGAGGGAUGUAUGCAUUGCCUCUUAUAAAGUAGGUUUUUAAAUUUGUCCUAAAUCCCCUUCCUCUCAAACGUGUUCUCAUUAGAGAACUCCAGGAUUUCAGCAGACAUAUCCACAUGCUCGUUUUCAAGGUCCUUCAUGAUAUCAGAGACCUGGAGCCAUAACCACUGACUGUUACCAGCCACACCCGUCUCAUCUGCAGCCUCUCCAGAAGCAAGGAAGCCAAGCUUCACCUGCCUGUGUGCUGAAGCUGCCUUUACCCUUCUUGAUUUGUGUUCUAGUGUUUUAUUCACAAAGUCUUUUCCUACCAAGGAUCUUUUUAAAAAUGUAUAUUUUCUUUUUAAAAAGUUUUGCUUCACAUAAUGAGAAAUGCCCCUGGAAGUUUUUCUAGCCAAUGUGAGUUCGGUAUGUAAUUUUAUUGUUUUUCAUUUGGAAAGCAAAUUGUCCUAGCUCUAUUGUUUGGCUACUCCAACUUUUUUCCCACUUCCCUGCUAGUUUUUAAUGGUCACUCUUUCAUAUAAUCACUUAUUUAUUUAAUCUAUUGGAUGCCUCUAGUAUGCCAGGCGCUGUUGUAAGUGCUGCUGAUAUGACACAAAGGCAGAAAACAGCCCUGCCCUCGUGGAGCGCAGAUUUUAGUGGACCUGGAGGAUUUUCCAGGCAGAGAAAAUACCAAGUACAGGGACAAGAAGCAGAAGUUCUGUGUGUUUGAGACACACUUGAGAAGGCAGUGUGUUGGGAAAAUAAAUAAGGUAGGAAAAGGAUAGAAGACAAGAUCAGAAAGGUAGCACCUAGAGCCCAAGCUAAAAAUUUCGGGAUGCAUUUAAGUGUGAUGAAAAUCCACCAAGAGUGAAAUCAGCGAGGCCGAUAAGAAAGCUCUUCACACAGUUUAGACAGCAGACAAUGGUGGCGGCUUAGACGCAUGUGCAAUGUAUGUAGUGCCCUAGGAAGAGUGACUGGAUUUUAGAUAUCACUUGAAGGUCAAGCUGAUGAAUUUGUGUAUAGUCAGAGGGAAAGGGAGAAGGUUUUUUUUUUUAUUGGAGUAAUUAUGUAAAAUAGUGGUGUCGUUUUAUUGAAAUAGAAAUCCUGCAGAAGCAGGUUCAAGGGCAGGAGUAGAAAGUGAAGACAAGAGUUCCAUUUCUAAAAUGUAAGCUUUACACACUUGUUAGACAUGGAGAUGUCUUGCAGACAGUUAGGAAUGCAUUCCAGGAGCUCAGGAGUUAGGGUUGUGGAUAUAAAUGUGGUUGUCUUUAGCACAUAGCUGAGAACUAAAGCCAUAGCAUGAGAUGAGGUCACCCAGCACAUGAGUAUAAUUAGAGAAGGUGGAUUUGUAUUGGCUUUUUUUUUUUUUUUUUUUGUAGACUGCAGUGGGAAAGUCAUUGGCCCCUUUCUAGACUUAAUUCUGUUUCAUUAAUCUACUGUUUAUCCAUGUGCUAAAAAACACAUU